rnacentral:tRNA from 1 species
AGCGGGAUAGGCUAGUCAGGUUCAGGCUGCAGGGCUCAUAACCCUGAGAUCGGAUGGUUCAAAUCCUCCUCCCGCUA